GACGAACGCUGGCGGCGUGCUUAACACAUGCAAGUCGAACGGAAAGGCCCUGCUUUUGUGGGGUGCUCGAGUGGAGAACGGGUGAGUAACACGUGAGUUACCUGUCCUUGACUGUGGGAUAACUUCAGGAAACUGGGUCUAAUCCCGCCUAGGAGCUCCUGCUGCAUGGUGGGGGUGGGAAAGUUUAGGCGGUUGGGGAUGGACUCGCGGCGCAUCGGCUCGGUGGUGGGGUAGUGGCUUAGCAAGGUCUUGCAAGGUAGCCGGCCUGGUAGGGUGACCGGCCACAUUGGGACGGAGAUGCGGCCCAGCCUACUCCGGUAGGCAGCGGUGGGGAAGAUUGCACAAUGGGCUGAACCCUGAUGCAGCAACGCCACGUGCGGGAUGACGGCCAGCGGUUUGGAAACCGCUUUCGCCUGUGACGAAACGUUAGUGACGGUAAUGGGUAAAGAAGCACCGGCUAACUACGUG
rnacentral:rRNA from 1 species